rnacentral:snoRNA from 1 species
AUACCAUGAUGAGGGCAAUGUUGAAGCAAAUCCUUGUAUCUUUCCCAAGCCUCGUAAAAUGACUCAGAAUUAAGCUGCAUGAAUGAUGUAAUAUCAUUUCUCAUUUU